GACAGAGGUGCCGAGCGUUAGGCGGAAUCACUGGGCUUAAAGCGUGUGUAGGCGGAUCGUUAAGUACCUUGUGAAAUCCCCCGGCUCAACCGGGGAACUGCUGGGUAUACUGGCGAUCUUGAGCGAUCUAGGGGCAGAUGGAACAAGUGGUGGAGCGGUGAAAUGCGUAGAUAUCACUUGGAACGCCAAAGGUGAAGACAGUCUGCUGGGGAUCUGCUGACGCUGAGACACGAAAGCCAGGGGAGCGAACGGG
rnacentral:rRNA from 1 species